CUGCGGACCGCGUCAACCGGGCACGGCGGUAUGGUGAACAGGAUAGUUUUCCCGGUUUCAUAUUCUGGCCAAGGAAUGGCAAAUAACAUCUGUCCCGUCCGAUCC
rnacentral:sRNA from 1 species